ACUUGUAAUCACUGAUCACAGUCACCGUAACAAAUAUAAUAAUAAUGAAAAAGUUUGAAAUAUUACAAGAACUACCAAAAUGUGACCAGACACAAACUCUUCAGCUAAAAGAUAACAUAAGAAGAGGGAGACUGUGCUGGCCAAUCC
rnacentral:lncRNA from 1 species